rnacentral:lncRNA from 1 species
CGAGAAACCAAUCACAAAAACACGUUUCAAGACGUUGCCAACUGCAUGUGUGAGAGGUGCCACUCUCUCCAGGGUGUUGGUAGCUAGCUGAGAAUUCAAAAGGCAGAAAAUAAUUUUAUUAUCUCAACACAUGACUUUUUGAUGACCCUUAUUGAAUACAUAAUGUCAUUAGGGACGAAACUAGGAAUCAAAUUAUUCAACUUUGAUUGUUAAAUAACAUUGAGAGGAAAAAGAAUGAUAGUGAUAACUUUAUAAUCCACAAGACGUUAGUUUACAACUGAAGCUCCCCAAAAAUAAUGUACCUGAUUGUAGAGGUGAUAAAACAUUCCCACCCAAAAGAGAUCUGAGAGGAACUUGGUCAGACCCACUUUAGCAAUUGCAUCAUUAAAGCCAUGCUUCAUCAGUUGAGGUCCCUCCACCUGUAAAAUCAGACAUGAAAGUAUGGAAACUGUUAUUUUAGUUUUAGGAAUCAAAACCCUCAAGGAUCUCAAAUCAUGUUGC